rnacentral:rRNA from 1 species
CCUACGGGUGGCAGCAGUAGGGAAUUUUCGUCAAUGGGGGGAACCCUGAACGAGCAAUGCCGCGUGAGUGAAGAAGGUCUUCGGAUCGUAAAGCUCUGUUGUAAGAGAAAAACGGGUAUCAUAGGGCAUGAUGCUAUCGUGAUGGUAUCUUCCCAGACAGCCACGGCUAACUACGUGCCAGCAGUCGCGGAAAUACGUAGGUGGCAAGCGUUAUCCGGAAUGAUUGGGGGUAAAGGGUGCGUAGGCGGCAAUAUAAGUCUGAAGUAAAGGGCGUUUGCUCAACCAAUGGAAGCAUUGGAAACUGUUAGGCUAGCGUGCAGGAGAGGUGAGUGGAAUUCGAGGUGUAGCGGUAAAAUGCGUAGAUAUAUGGAGGAACACCAGUGGCGAAGGCGGCUAACUGGCCUGUAACGGACGCUGAGGCACGAAAGCGUGGGGAGCAAAUAGGAUUAGAUACCCCUGUAGUC